GACGAACGCUGGCGGCGUGCUUAACACAUGCAAGUCGAACGGAAAGGCCCUGCAUUUGUGGGGUGCUCGAGUGGCGAACGGGUGAGUAACACGUGAGUAACCUGCCCUUGACUUUGGGAUAACUUCAGGAAACUGGGGCCAAUACCGGAUAGGAGCUCCUGCUGCAUGGUGGGGGUUGGAAAGUUUGGGCGGUUGGGGAUGGACUCGCGGCUUAUCAGCUUGUUGGUGGGGUAGUGGCUUACCAAGGCUUUGACGGGUAGCCGGCCUGAGAGGGUGACCGGCGAAAUUGGGACUGAGAUACGGCCCAGCCUCCUACGGGAGGCAGCAGGGGGGAAUAUUGCACAAUGGGCGGAAGCCUGAUGCAGCAACGCCGCGUGCGGGAUGACGGCCUUCGGGUUGUAAACCGCUUUCGCCUGUGACGAAGCGUGAGUGACGGUAAUGGGUAAAGAAGCACCGGCUAACUACGUG
rnacentral:rRNA from 1 species